GACGAACGCUGGCGGCGUGCUUAACACAUGCAAGUCGAACGGUGAAGGGACCGGUUUUUGCUGGUUCUGGAUGAGUGGCGAACGGGUGAGUAACACGUGAGUAACCUGCCUCCUUCUUCUGGAUAACCGCAUGAAAGUGUGGCUAAUACGGGAUAUUCUGCGCCUGCUGCAUGGUGGGUGUGGGAAAGAUAUUGUUUCGGUGGGGGAUGGGCUCGCGGCCUAUCAGCUUGUUGGUGGGGUGAUGGCCUACCAAGGCGGUGACGGGUAGCCGGCCUGAGAGGGUGGACGGUCACACUGGGACGGAGACACGGCCCAGACUCCUACGGGAGGCAGCAGUGGGGAAUAGUGCACAAUGGGCGCAAGCCUGAUGCAGCGACGCCGCGUGAGGGAUGGAGGCCUUCGGGUUGUAAACCUCUUUCGCCAGUGAAGCAGGCCUGUCCCUUUUGUGGGUGGGUUGACGGUAGCUGGAUAAGAAGCGCCGGCUAACUACGUG
rnacentral:rRNA from 1 species